rnacentral:lncRNA from 1 species
AUGGCAGAAGUAGAGCAGAAGAAGAAGCGGACCUUCCGCAAGUUCACCUACCGCGGCGUGGACCUGGACCAGCUGCUGGACAUGUCCUACGAGCAGCUGGAGCAGCCGAUGCAGCUGUACAGUGCGCGCCAGCGGCGGCGGCUGAACCGGGGCCUGCGGCGGAAGCAGCACUCCCUGCUGAAGCGCCUGCGCAAGGCCAAGAAGGAGGCGCCGCCCAUGGAGAAGCAGGAAGUGGUGAAGACGCACCUGCGGGACAUGAUCAUCCUACCCGAGAUGGUGGGCAGCAUGGUGGGCGUCUACAACGGCAAGACCUUCAACCAGGUGGAGAUCAAGCCCGAGAUGAUCGGCCACUACCUGGGCGAGUUCUCCAUCACCUACAAGCCCGUAAAGCACGGCCGGCCCGGCAUCGGGGCCACCCACUCCUCCCGCUUCAUCCCUCUCAAGUAA